GAUGAACGCUGGCGGCGUGCCUAAUACAUGCAAGUCGAGCGAACGGACGAGAAGCUUGCUUCUCUGAUGUUAGCGGCGGACGGGUGAGUAACACGUGGAUAACCUACCUAUAAGACUGGGAUAACUUCGGGAAACCGGAGCUAAUACCGGAUAAUAUUUUGAACCGCAUGGUUCAAAAGUGAAAGACGGUCUUGCUGUCACUUAUAGAUGGAUCCGCGCUGCAUUAGCUAGUUGGUAAGGUAACGGCUUACCAAGGCAACGAUGCAUAGCCUACCUGAGAGGGUGAUCGGCCACACUGGAACUGAGACACGGUCCAGACUCCUACGGGAGGCAGCAGUAGGGAAUCUUCCGCAAUGGGCGAAAGCCUGACGGAGCAACGCCGCGUGAGUGAUGAAGGUCUUCGGAUCGUAAAACUCUGUUAUUAGGGAAGAACAUAUGUGUAAGUAACUGUGCAUAUCUUGACGGUACCUAAUCAGAAAGCCACGGCUAACUACGUG
rnacentral:rRNA from 1 species